rnacentral:rRNA from 1 species
UACGAAGGGGGCUAGCGUUGUUCGGAAUCACUGGGCGUAAAGCGCGCGUAGGCGGGUCGUUAAGUCAGGGGUGAAAUCCCGAGGCUCAACCUCGGAACUGCCUUUGAUACUGGCGACCUGGAGUCCGGGAGAGGUGAGUGGAACUCCUAGUGUAGAGGUGAAAUUCGUAGAUAUUAGGAAGAACACCAGUGGCGAAGGCGGCUCACUGGCCCGGUACUGACGCUGAUGCGCGAAAGCGUGGGGAGCAAACAGGAUUAGAAACCCCAGUAGUCC